rnacentral:rRNA from 1 species
AGCCUGACAGAACCACGCCGCGUGAGUGAAGAAGGCUUUCGGGUUGUAAAACUCUGUCUUCAGGGAAGAAAAAAAUGACGGUACCUGAGGAGGAAGCCCCGGCUAACUACGUGCCAGCAGCCGCGGUAAUAC